GCCCCCAUAGCUUAAUGGUAAAGCAACGCCCUUUUAAGGCGCUGAUGAGGGUCCGAUUCCUUCUGGGGGCA
rfam:Candidatus Wildermuthbacteria bacterium RIFCSPHIGHO2_02_FTLL_47_12 rifcsphigho2_02_scaffold_11239, whole genome shotgun sequence.